ensembl:lncRNA ABCC13 ATP binding cassette subfamily C member 13 (pseudogene)
CCAUUCCACCAGCACCCCGCCCCAGGCGCACUGGCUAGGACUGGAAGGCAAGGACUAAGGUGAAAGCUGACUGCCCGCACCGCCCCAGGCGCACUGGGUAGGACUGAAAGGCAGGGACUAAGGUGACAGCUGACUCUGCCGGGGCGGAGUGCGUGUCCUCCCACCGUGCUGGCGCUGAACUGACUGUCCGCUGCCAAGGGAAGUGACAGCCGCAGCCGGGCUCUCAGCCAGCGGCCAGGCGCCCCGCGGACCAUGCUCUCCAGUACGCAGAACGCGGGCGGCUCCUAUCAGCGGGUCCGCGGGGCGCUUGAUACACAGAAAUGCAGUCCAGAGAAAAGUGCCUCAUUUUUCAGUAAAGUGACAUAUUCCUGGUUUAGCAGAGUAAUUACUUUAGGCUAUAAGAGACCUUUGGAAAGAGAGGAUCUUUUUGAACUAAAGGAAAGUGAUUCCUUCUGCACUGCGUGUCCCAUCUUUGAAAAACAAUGGAGAAAGGAAGUUUUAAGGAAUCAAGAGAGGCAAAAAGUAAAGGUAUCUUGUUAUAAAGAGGCACAUAUCAAGAAACCAUCUCUACUCUAUGCAUUGUGGAACACCUUUAAAUCCAUCCUGAUUCAAGUUGCCUUAUUCAAAGUGUUUGCUGAUAUUUUGUCCUUCACUAGCCCACUCAUAAUGAACAUUGGCCCUAAUCAUCCUGAUCAUGCUGUCACAAACUUAAGAGGAAAUAAGGAAAAGGAGAGAAAAAAGAAAUUGGUUAUGAAUAAAAGUGACAAUAAAACAUGAGAUAUAAAUCAAGCUUAAAAAAAAAAAGCAGCACCUGUGGGCCAUACUAAAAGAUCCCCUACUUACGUUCUGGUUGUCAUGUUUCCCUGUAUUUGAUAAAACACAUAAUUUUGAGAAAAAUAAAGUUUUAAAUGUA